CCUACGGGUGGCAGCAGUGGGGAAUAUUGGACAAUGGGGGCAACCCUGAUCCAGCCAUGCCGCGUGUGUGAAGAAGGCCCUCGGGUUGUAAAGCACUUUCAGUGAGGAAGAACGCCUGGUGGUUAAUACCCAUCAGGAAAGACAUCACUCACAGAAGAAGCACCGGCUAACUCCGUGCCAGCAGCCUCGGUAAUACGGAGGGUGCGAGCGUUAAUCGGAAUUACUGGGCGUAAAGCGCGCGUAGGUGGCUUGAUAAGCCGGUUGUGAAAGCCCCGGGCUCAACCUGGGAACGGCAUCCGGAACUGUCAAGCUAGAGUGCAGGAGAGGAAGGUAGAAUUCCCGGUGUAGCGGUGAAAUGCGUAGAGAUCGGGAGGAAUACCAGUGGCGAAGGCGGCCUUCUGGACUGACACUGACACUGAGGUGCGAAAGCGUGGGUAGCAAACAGGAUUAGAUACCCCAGUAGUC
rnacentral:rRNA from 1 species